GCCCAGUUAGCUUGGAGGUUAGCGCGUCUGUCUUACAAGCGCUAGGUUGCAGGUUCGAUUCCUGCCCGGGGCG
rnacentral:tRNA from 1 species